CCUACGGGAGACAGCAGUAGGGAAUCUUUCACAAUGGGCGAAAGCCUGAUGGAGCAACGCCGCGUGCAGGAUGAAGGCCUUCGGGUUGUAAACUGCUUUUAUAAGCGAGAAAUAUGAUGGUAACUUAUGAAUAAGGAUCGGCUAACUACGUGCCAGCAGCCGCGGUCAUACGUAGGAUCCGAGCAUUAUCCGGAGUGACUGGGUGUAAAGAGUUGCGUAGGUGGCAUAAUAAGUAGCUAGUGAAAUCUGGUGGCUCAACCAUUCAGACUAUUAGCUAAACUGUUAAGCUCGAGACCGUUAGGGGUAACUGGAAUUUCUAGUGUAGGAGUGAAAUGCGUAGAUAUUAGAAGGAACACCAAUAGCGUAGGCAGGUUACUGGGACGGUUCUGACACUAAGGCACGAAAGCGUAGGGAGCAAACGGGAUUAGAUACCCUUGUAGUC
rnacentral:rRNA from 1 species